AUAGCAAUGAAUUCGCCUUAUUCGUUUGGCUGAUAAGACGUGACAGAAAGUACUAUUGGCUGCUGUUGAAUGAGUAACAUGACAGAUAGGACUCCACCAAUUAGCCCAAUUAUCUUUUAUUAGCACGUGAUUAGCUCUUGUAAAAAGGAUAGCAACAUCAUCCUUGUCCCAAGCAGCAGCUUCCUUUUUCCCACGUUUAAUUUGAUUUGUCUCGUGCCAUGCAUUUGACCAUUAUGUUCUAGAAAUAUGGACGCGGUUGUUCUGUCAUUUCGGAUUCAAUGCUUCCCUCGUGCUGGUACUGACCAUAUAGACCCUGCUUCCUUCGUGCCAGUUCUCCCUAUAAGAACUAGCUAGGAAUUGAAGCUCCCUGUUCUCAUACAAUUCUAGCAAGACCAGCCCAUAGCAGUCAUGUUCCCAUCAUCCUGCUUCCUUAGUACCGGCGUGUUCCUGGCGAUUCAGCUGAUCUUGAUAGGCAUCAUCGGACUGCAUGUUCACGCGUCGGAGUUCGUACACAAGGGAUGUGGCUGGGGAGAUCCUACAGAUCCUUGCGGACCAACAAUGGGGAGCCCAUCGUGCCAUCGUCCGCCGUGUCAUUAGCAGUCUGUGCAAAAAUUAAUGGAAUGAACAUACUGGUUCAGGGUAUAAAUUAAAUGAAUCGCUGAUCAGCAUAAAUAAAGUGGACCUUCUCCAAAUCGAUCGAGGAUCCAUAUUCAUUCAGUGUAUGCAUAUAUCCGAGUGUCUUUACAUAUUGAAGGUUAAUUUACUACAAUAAUCCUGUAGGUACUAGCUAGUUUGUAUUUUGAAAGAUGUUACAUCAAUAUUAUAUCGCAUCAAAUAUACACUGCCUUCUUCUUUUCUUGAA